CGGAGGGCGCGAGCGUUACCCGGAUUUACUUGGGCGUAAAAGGGACGUGUAGGCGGCUUGGGGUCGGUCCCACUGUGAAAGGACCGACGGCGUCAACCGUAGGGAGGAGGCGUGGGAGUACGCUCAGGCGUAGAGGGGUGGGAGAGGGUGGUGGAAUUCCCGGAGUAGCGGUGAAAUAGCGCAGAUACCGGGAGGAACGCCGAUGGCGAAGGCAGCCACCUGGUCCACUUCUGACGCUGAGGCGCGAAAGCGUGGGGAGCAAACCGGAUU
rnacentral:rRNA from 1 species